rnacentral:tRNA from 1 species
AAAGGGAGACCUAAUUCAGGUAGGAGACGAAAAAAAAGUAGUCGCUACCAAGAAUCAAUCCCAAAAGGUCGGAGCGAGGCGAAAUUGGCUUUCAAACUAGGUUCUGGGUUCAUAAAAGACCUGAAUCAGGAACAAGGGCUAUUAGCUCAGGUGGUUAGAGCGCACCCCUGAUAAGGGUGAGGUCCCUGGUUCGAGUCCAGGAUGGCCCACCUGCACAGGUGGCAAAAACAAGAGAAGCGAGGAAUCAGCACCUUAUCUUACUUAUAUAGUAAGAGAGAAUGCUGGCUCUGAGUAAAGAGUCCAGAGGAACCUUGAAAACUGCAUAGAGCUAGGUGAAAAAGCCAAAAAAGAAGACCGCAAG